UGAUAAGAAAACAACAUACAUUUUGGGUGGAUCACAAUAAUUUAUUCAACCUAAAUGCUACUACUAGUAUGUAGUUUUUCUUCUCAAUAUUAUUGUCACUUGAAUUUCAUUCAACGGAAGGACCUGUUUUCUGCUCUUUCUUCACUUCAACAGGUCGUGGAAGUUAAGUCUAUUGGGAUCGUUUCCACGCGGAAAAUUAAUCGGAGACACUUGUUAAAAUCAAGUGGUCUCCGACCACGAGAUGUUAGAAGCGUUGAUCCAUCAUUGUGGUUAACCAAUACAAUGCCUUCAAUAUUGGUACGGGAAUAUGCAAUUUUGCUGAACUUGGGAUCUUUACGUGCGAUUGCAAUGCAAGAACGUGUUUAUAUAUUCAACUAUAACCGGAGAGCAGGAAAAGCUUUUAUUGAUGCGUUGUUACCCCGCUUAAACCCGAAGAACAUGCAUGGAGGGCCCUCAAUGCCAUUUGUGCUUGAGGUAGUUGAGGCAGCACUACAUUCUCGAAUACAAGGCAUGGAACAGAGACUAUUGGAUUUAGAACCACGUGUCCAGGGUUUGCUUGAGGUUCUUCCUAAUCGAUUGACUGCCAACAUACUGGAAGAACUUCGAAUUAGCAAACAAACACUAGUAGAAUUGGGCUCAAAGGCCGGGGCUUUGAAGCAAAUGUUGCUUGAUAUCCUUGAGGACACCCAUGAAAUACGGAGAAUAUGUAUCAUGGGAAGAAACUGCACUCUGACAAAAAAUGAUGAUAUGGAAUGCUCUGUUCCCUUAGAGAAGGAGAUAGCUGAGGAAGAGGAAGAAGAGAUUGAAAUGCUUUUGGAAAAUUAUCUCCAAAGAUGUGAAUCUUGUCAUGGUCAAGCAGAGAGGCUUCUUGAUUCAGCAAAGGAAAUGGAAGAUUCAAUUGCCGUUAACCUGAGUUCUCGGAGACUUGAGGUAAGUCGAGUAGAACUUCUCCUUCAGGUUGGGGCAUUAUGUGUGGGAGUUGGUGCCCUAUUUGCAGGUAUAUUUGGCAUGAACUUGAGAUCGCAUCUUGAAGAACGUGUGUUCGCCUUUUGGCUAACAACAUCAGCAAUUUUUGUGGGUGCUCUGCUUGGAUUCUUUAUCAUGUAUGCAUACCUCAGGCAAAAGAAGAUCUUGUAAACAUCAGAGAAACGCCAUAAUCGGCACCAAAUGCAAUUUCGGAUGUGGACAAAUACAGGAUUAUAUGAAGGUGUUGGUAUAUAUAUACAGUUAAAGAGCCCCUGCGGUAGUCAGUUGCUUAUGACGUGCGAUGCUUCAUCUUCUGAGUGUGACCCAACUGGAGGCUGUAUCAGUAUGUAACAUUUUCAUGUGAAGCACGAGACUAGUGAACAAGAGAACUCAUAAUAAUGCAUUGUUGUAGGUGGUGGUGGUGAGUAGGUACCUAAUUCAUUGCUUACUCAUAUCCGAGGGUAGAUAUUUAUCUCUUAGCUAAAUAAUGAUUAUUAGUGCUGAUUGCGAUAUUAUGUUUGUAUGUAGCUUAGGAUGAGUAUUGCUCUCUCAUUUCUAGAUAUCUUCUAUUUUCCCAACUUGAACCUACUUUCAUCAA